UCGUAUGUCGAAAACUAAUUUCAGAAUUUCCUUGUUUGGUUCCUUUCGAUUGAUGGAGCUGAUUAGGAUCUGUGAAUCUGAUCUCAGUGGCCAGUGGGAGCUUGGAGAAUCCUUUUUCUAAAGCUUGGCUAAAGGCUGUUCUGACAGCAAUUGCUUCUGCAACCAAAGGAGAAGUUUGAAGGACUCCGAUUUAUGACUCCUCGAGAUUUUCACUUCCGACUGGUCGAAGAAAAUCCAUCCUAGGCCCGCUACUUUUGGAGCUUCCAGCCACGCUGCAUCUGUAAAGCAGGUGAUCUCCUCUAGGUCUUCUGAUUGCUGAUGGGGGGUUUCCGUGAGAUGCUGUUUGGGUUUCUCAAUAACCUGUGCCGAUUGCCAUUCUCUUGCUUCUUUUGUUGCUUUCGUUGCUGUAUCCGCUGAGGUUAUAUUCCUGUUUUCAAAGAUCAAUUUAUUGCGUGAAAACCAAAUAGACCAGUAGAUCCAAGUGAACAAAGAGCCAUUUCCCACUUCCGUUGCUGUGGAGAAAGAGGUGAUCUAUCAUUUCCAAAUCUCCACAGUGAACACAAGUAGCUCCUAUCGAUAAGCCUCGAGAUUGUAAGCUUUCUCCCACAGGGAGAGCUCCUUGUACCACCUUCCAUAUAAAAAAAAAAUUAUUUUUGGAGAAAAAGUCCCAUUCCAUAUGUCUGAGUGCAGGGAUCCAGAUGAAGGAGUCCUCUGCUCCUAUUGUACUGGGCUUGAUGCUUAUGAUAUCUAGUUUCAUAGCUGGCAGAAUCUCGAGAAUUUUCUCCUCACUUCACGAAGUAGAAUUGUCGUGCAUCAGUUCCGACACAACCAUGUUACUAGAGUUUCUUGGUGCUGGCCCCAUUGGUCGGAGUUGAUUAGAGAGACUGAGCCAAGGAUCCAACCAGACUUUGGUAGUUUUCAUUUCCAAUAGCUUUACCGAUGUGUGGAGCUAGUAGGUCUCUACCUAUUAGGAUACUCUCCAUCUAUGUGAGGCAAUAGCUGGAGUUGUAGCAUUGAGCAUAUCAGAGUUGACACAGUAUUUUCCAGAAGCACACAUGCCAGAAGACAAUGUGGAUUGUUUAGCAGUCUCCAAUACAUUUUGGCGAGGAGUGCAUCAUUGAAAGCUUCAAUGUCCCUGAAGCCGAGACUGCCUAAGUGUUUUGGUCUUAUGAGCUUUGUCCAAGCAAUCCAUCACAACUUUUUCUUUUCUGGUUUUGAGUCCCACCAGAAGCGGGUCAAGGCAGAUUGGAUCCUUUUGCAGAGGCUCAAGGGCAGCUUAAAACAGGACAUAUUGUAAGAGGGAAUGUGGAUAACACAUACUUGAGCAUGAUGAUUUUCCUGGUGCUAGACAGGAACUUAGUUGACCAACCAAUAGCUUUUUGCUGGAUUCUGUCCACAAUUGCCGUGAAGAGAUCUUUCUUCCUCCUCCCAAAAAUG